GGUUUCGUGGCCUAGCGGAUAGCGCCGUUGUUUUUGAAGUUUUGUACCCGGGUUCAAUCCCCGCUGGGGUCA